rnacentral:rRNA from 1 species
CUAAAACGUCCGUAGCCGGUCUGAUACAUUCGUGGGUAAAUCAACCAGCUCAACUGGUUGAAUUCUGCGAGGACGGCCAGACUUGGGACCGGGAGAGGUGUGGGGUACUCUCAGGGUAGGGGUAAAAUCCUGUCAUCCUGAGCGGACCACCUGUUGCGAAGGCGCCACACUAGAACGGAUCCGACGGUCAGGGACGAAGCCUAGGGGCACGAACCGGAUUAGAUACCCGGGUAGUCCUAGGUGUAAACGCUGUGGACUUGAUGUUGGGGGUGCUCCGAGCACUCUCAGUGUCGAAGCGAAGGUGAUAAGUCCACUGCCUGGGAAGUACGGUCGCAAGGCUGAAACUUAAAGGAAUUGGCGGGGGA